rnacentral:rRNA from 1 species
UACGUAGGGGGCAAGCGUUGUCCGGAUUUAUUGGGCGUAAAGAGCGUGUAGGCGGCCAAGUAGGUCCGUUGUGAAAACUCGAGGCUCAACCUCGAGACGCCGAUGGAAACCAUUUGGCUAGAGUCCGGAAGAGGAGAGUGGAAUUCCUGGUGUAGCGGUGAAAUGCGCAGAUAUCUGGAGGAACACCGGUGGCGAAGGCGGCAUCCUGGACCAACACUGACGCUGAGGAGCGAAAGCCAGGGGAGCAAACGGG